UUGCCAUUUCCAAUUCCAUUACUAAUGUUAAUAUUAAUACCAUUGACAUUU
rnacentral:sRNA from 13 species